ACGCGUUGUGUUGGAACUCCUGUUGAUGAAAGGAAGCAUUUAGGAGCGGGACGCCGGACCAAAAGAUGAGAAAACUGCGUUCUCCCAUGAUGUUGUGUAUAUAUAUAUAUUUUUAUUUCCAUUUCUCUUCUUUUUUAAUGAGAGCACUGCUAUCCAUCUGCUGCCAUGCUGUUGCACUGUGGAGAGGAAUGUUUGGAGUGGAGGUGCGGCGUGUGUGUGUGUGAGAGAGAGGGGGGCGGGGCUGGGCUGGACGGCCAUGCUGGUGGCUGGGCCACGCUGCGGCCGUCCAGCCUUCGCUGGCCUGGCCUCCUCUUCUCUCGGAGACACCUUCAGGGUUUGCUGUUUUUCUCAUAGAAACUUGAAAGGAGUAGAGUACACUGGAGCGCCCCUCCAACACUCGUCUGGCUUGGCUCCUCGUCUUUUGCUUUAGCAGCAUUGAUUCAAAUUCACCUGUCGUUUUAGGGAGAUUCCUAUUUUUAUACGCCUUUAAUUUAAAGCCAUUUUUUGCCAACCGCUGAGAAAUGCUUGUGAGUCAAUGUGGGUCCAGGAUUAGUCUCGUGAUGGGCUUCAACACCGACCCUGAUCAAUGGAUGGCAGGCAUUUGUGGGCCUCCUCGGCACACUGUUUGCUGUGGUGUGGCACUGAGGGCGUUUUCACGCAUGGAGGUCCAGACACCGUCUGCUGUUGAGUUUGAGAGAGCUGCUUCUCCACCCUCAUGCUUCUGGGAAGUGAGUCCAGUGGAGAGCGUGACUCGAGUCGUUGUUGACACGUUCCCUCCCACCCACCUUUGCCUCACUUCAAUUCAGUUGUGCUGCGUGUAUUUGCCAGGACUUUUUCAAACCAAAAACGGCGGCGUCCUGACGUCGCUGCGCUUCCUCUGUUGCUUUUUGCUCUCCAGCGCUGACACGCCAAGACUUGAGCCUCGGCCCCUGCGCCUCCCGGCUCCGGGCCGGAGCAGACGCAGUAUGAAUGUUGCCACAGGCGCGGUGCAGGCUGCACGUCAUGGUGUCCUCAUCUGCAUGUGACGUCGUGUACCCUCCAUGUGUCUCGUGCCCUGACGUGUACAGUGGAAUGUUUUUGGAAGAUCAAGUCGAUUCAAGCCACGAAUGUUGGUGCGGCGCGUGCCUGGGUUUGUGUGUCAAACAGCGACUGUUGUGGUCGCCUGCCGUCAUGUCUGUGUGCGCGUGUGUUUCACAUGGCAGGAGGUCACGUGUGGUGACGAAUCCGCCAAGUCAGCGCAAUAAUCUCCACCGAGUGUGUCCGACUCUGCCGGCGGCGGUUCUCUGUGUGAACAGCAGGGGGCGCUGCGAGGCUCCAAUGUGACGUGGACUUGUGCUACACUGAAAAGGCUCUGAUUAUUUAUGUACCAUUUCUGGGAAUGUAAAAUCGUUUUGUGUUGAAAGGAAAUAUUUUUCAUCAGCUAAAGUUUCAGGACCAGCAUCAACAAAUAAAUGUCUUUGAUGUUUUAACGCGUGCCUCUUCUUCCCGACACGCGAGCACGUGAUCCACCGGGAUGGGUCCGUCGGUGGAGGUCAUGUCAAAGCUCCGCCACACGGGGGCAGCAUCUGGUCGCUUUGUCCAUGCAGCUCUCAGUCUUGAGCUUCCCGUGGUGGCGGCAUGCUCCACUGGCUUCUUCCUGCCGCGCAUCAGGGUCAACUCUCACCCUGCUCGGGUCGCUGACCCCUCAGGAACCCUGGCCCCCCCGUGAUCUGCCACGACGCUGGUCGGUGGAAUCGCUUGUGUCGCCUCCGGCCAGCUUUAGCAGAGUCGCGUGGUGACGGAUCCGAGUCAAACGUGUGUCUGUCUCUGCAAGUCUGGUCCGCACACGUCGCUCCCUCCCCAGGUGGUUCGGACCAGUGGUCACGAUGACAUUGGCCCUGACAACAACAAAUCACACAGCAUGAGCAGCUUCUCCGCCAUGAAAACGCAGAUCAACAUGAGGCUGAAUGAAGCCACUGUAAAAGAAAUGUAUUUUCACAUAGUGUUGACAGUGAGUCCUGCAUGUGUCCUCGUGCUGACGAGGCCCUGGGCCUGUGACCCACAUGUCAAAGGACGUCGGCUCCUUCCUGGUGUUGGAGGAAGGAGAUCAACCUGGCAGGAAGAGGCAACCUGUGAAGGUGACGACGCUGCACCCGGCCAAGGAUGCGCAGUCUGCAGAGCUGCAGCAGGGGGCGCGGGGGAGCUGGGCACGCACGCACACACAGAGAGAGAGCCCGUCAGUGGCGGCGGCGGCGGCGGCCUGAUGCUGCGCUGCAGCUUCCGCUGCGAAGCGACUCACUGACGUGCGAGACUCACUGGCUUUGUCCUUGAUGACCCCCCAGUCUGGGUAGCUGUCCAGGUGCUCCUGGAGCCGGGAGCACAGGGUCACGUGACCGACGUAGUCCAACAAGACGUCGAUGAUGGGCCCGGACCAGCGGCAGAUGCUCGGGGCUGAGAUCAUCUCGCAGAACUGCCAACGACAGGAAGUGGCGUGAGCGCGCGGCCGAGCAAGCGAACAGACGAACCAGCGCCGGCACCUGCACUCCUUUCCUGCCGCGGUCGCGAGCGUCGCUCCCGCCCGGAGAGCGGCUCGUCCCGAUUGGCGGGUGCGGAGCGCUGCCGUAGGCGCAGUCGAAGCAGGGGCGCGCGCGCCCCCCGUUGUCCAGCAGGUACUUGAACAGCGGCAGGUACUUCAUGGAGAACAUGUAGACGGCGGGAAAGGUGGUCGGGUGCGUGGGGAUCUCGGCGUUGACGUCGGCCCCGUGCUCCACCAGCAGCGUGACGGUCCGGAUGCAGCCCUGCCGCGCGGCCACCAUCAGCGGCCGCAGCACGUCCAGGUUGGGGUCCGCGCCGGCAGCCAGGAGCGCGCGCGUGGCGUCGACGUUGUUGUUCAGGACGGAGAAGUAGAGCGCCGUGCUGCGCCGGUCCUCGUAGAGCUUGGAGCGCUCCUCCGAGAGCUGCGCGUUCACGUCGAACCCAGCUCGGAUCAGGACCUCCAAGACCUGGUCUCGGUUGCGCUCCACAGCCAAGUGCAGCGGGCUGAUGCCGGUGCGCCGGACCCGGGCUUUGCUGGUCCUGGGGAUCAGCAUGGACACAAUUCUGCCGCGGAGAAGACACGGGGAUCAGAGGAGGGAGCGCGUCACAGUCCAGUGAAGCGUCACUUUGAGCAGGAUAUUCAGCACGCCAAUGUCAGGCCCUUGGCACUGACGGGACCCUGACAGAGUGCUGUGGUGGGUUUGAUCUCCACAUGGACAACGCUCAUGUAACGGGCCAAGAAUGGAUGGUACUGAAACACUGGUGGUCACGUGACGCCCGCUUCGCUCGCCCUCAUCACAGAGAGAGACACCUACGUGUCGCUCCCGCGCUGCGCGGCCACGUGGAUCGGCAGCAGCCCAGUUUUGCCCGGCCUGUUGGCGUCAGCGCUCUGUGACAGCAGGAGCUCCACGACGGCCUCGUGGCCGUUCUUGGCCGCUUCAUAAAGAGCCGUGGCGCCAUCUGCCGCUUCCGUGUUCACAUCGGCCCCUGACACACCGAGCACAAAGACCUUCAUGCACAAGUCGGUCACAAGGAGCGCGCGAGCAAGCUGAGGGACGGAGGACAUUCAAGGUCACCAUGUUUGAGCAGGCAGCGCAGCGCAGCCACUUGUCCGCUCUGAGCAGCUGUGAAGGUGGGAGUGAUGCCGUAGAUGUUCGGCAGGUUGAGCUUGGCGCCGGCCUUCAGCAGCAUCUCACAGAUCUCCACGUUGUUCCGGGAAGCCGCCUCCUGCAGGGCAGUCCAGCCAAAGUGACACUGGGCGUUGACCGAGGCGCCGUGGUUCAGCAGAGCCGCCACCAGGGCGCCGUUGCUCCGCUCACAGGCUGACACACACACACACACACACACACACAGGUCCAGGUUAGGCUCCUGGUUCGAUCAUCUGGGUUUAGAUUCCAGACUUUGUUGAAAGGUCCGGGACAGGAGAAGAACCCAAACACGUGAGUGAGUCUUCCAGACAUCUGGAUUCCAGGUCGAUGACACAGUGGUGUCACAGAAACUGCAGCCACAAAGAGAAUGCUCACACUGGCAGACUCACACACACACACACGUUUGUAUUGCUGUCCCUGUGGGGACAUUGUGAGGUCUCUCAUUGACAUCACCCUUUCCCCAGCCUCCCACACUUAACCAUCCAAAACACCAGGCUGGACUGAACCUGGACUCUGAGCCAAACUAACAGCCACUGAUACUGACCCAGCUGUCAAACUGAGGCCUGACACAGUGAGGACCGGCCAAGACAAACUCACCCAGGUCCUCACAAGGCCAGACAUACAAGAACAGCCAACACACACACAUGCACAACACUCAAUGUAGUAGAGUUGUCACCAGUCGUCAGUAGAUGAAACCAGUACCAGUGAAUUCCUGUGAUUUAAACAUCUUCAUCUACUGGCUCUCUCUCUCUCUCUCCUCUGUCCAAACCAUCUCCAUCCAGCCUCUCUGACUUGGUCUCCUGAAGACCUGAGCACAUGUGCUGUCCCUCUGAUCCUAUCAUCGUCCUGCUCUCACUCCCAGAGAGAAGCUCAGCAUCUUCAUCUGUGCCUCCUCCAGCUCUGCCUCCUGUCUUCUCCUCAGUGCCACUGUUUCCAAACCAUACAACGUUGCUGGCCUCACCACCCUUUUGGACCCUUUCCCUCUCAUCCUUGCCCACACCCACAUCACACCUGAGACUUUUCUCCAAUGAUUCCAUCCUGCCUGCAGCCGCUUCUUCACCUCUUCCUCACACUCUCCAUGGCCCUGGACAGUUGACCCUCCACCUACUUUAUCUCUGCGUCCUGUAGCUUCACCUGUCCACUUGGCUCCCUCUCAUUCACACACAGGGAUUCUGUCUUACUGCGGCUGACCUUCAUUCCUCUCCUUUCUAAGGCAAACCUCCACCUCUCCAGCGGAUCUUCCACUGGCUCCCUGCUCUCACCACAGAUCACAGCGUCAUCUGCAAACAUCACGGUCCAACCUGUCCAUCACCACAGCAACAGGAAGGGUCUCAGAGCGGAGCCUUGGUGCAGUCCCACCUCCAGCUUGAGCUCCUGUGUUCCACCUGCAGCACACCUCACCACCGUCUCCCACACACGUCCUGCUCCUCUCCAACCUGCUGCUCUGCCACUCCAGACCUCCUCACUGCACCAACCAUGAGGGAUCCCAGUUUGAGCCCAAUCCAAAAGCAAAUAUUGACAGGACGCCAGAUGACUCAGCAGGGCUGUCACUGAAACCCCUCUGUGUGCAUCUACAGUGGCGAGCUGGUCGAACCGUGGGCCUGACGGGAGGCGGGUUGUGCUCACCUUUGUAGAGUGGCGAUUCUCUCUCGUGGUUGCUGAUGUCCGUGUUGGCGCCGUGCUCCAGCAGCAGCUCCGCAGGGCUCAGGUUUUCGCGGCUGGUGGCGAUCAGCAGGGCGGUUUCUCCACGCUCGGUUUGUUGGUUCACCAUUCCUGGCUGAGCUGAGAAGAUGGCAACAGACACUGAGUCAUUGUUGUAGGUGCAGACCAACGGGAGCGGUGCAUUUAUUCUACAAUAUGAAUAUGGUUGGAAUUGUUUGUGCUACGAAUAGAGAAGUGAUUCACAGAGUGGUGCGUGAGGAAGAGAGAAGUGAAGCAGCCAUUGAAAGUCAUUCACUCCAGGGUCCAAGGUCAGACGGAGGAGGCUGGAGAGGGCCAUCUUCUCCAGAGCUGGUCCUCAUACGAGGCACCUGGGGGAAGCCCGUUGCCAUGGUGACGUGGCUGAGGACCAAUCAGACGAGGACGGAGCCCAGGUGGAGAAACUUUGGUGGAUAAAGGGGUCACGACCUCUGAGAGUUUUGGGUGGCUCCACCGGGCGCAGCUGCUGAGCCAGAACUCAUUUCUGGGACACAACCCGUGAACGGACGCGCAGAGGUGCACGGCGUGAGGUGGAUUGGAUCACCAAUAUUGUCUUCUGCUGAUUCCAGCCAGCUCCAAACUCUCCAACAGGCUGCUGCAUUGGCAGCGAGGCUCACCUUGGACCGGUGAGUGAAUGUGAAGGAAGUGUUCAUGAUCCUGUCAGAGAAUGUGCUGUGUAAAUAGUGGACCCGCCGACUGGUGCUGGUGGGUGUGACUCAGAUGAAGAAACUGUCUUUGUCUCCACAGCCGUGGGUUCACCUGGCGUGGCUCCGCCCCCCUCACCUGCCAGUAAGACCUCCAGGCAGCGCCCCCUGUCGUAGAAGGCGGCCUGGUGGAUGGCCAGCCAGCCAGGCGGACAGCUUGGAGGAGAGGCUCCUCCACCCUGCAGAGAAGAACCAAACCAGCCGGGCUGACACAGACGUGGGACACACAGCCACGUACUCCAGAGGCUCCGGCGCCACGUGCACCAGGCUGCCGUCGUGUCUCCGUGCUCACCGUCGGCUUGUGUUCCUUCAUGGAGGAGCUUGAAGACAGCUGCUUCCGCUGAGUGCUCCCCCUGUCUGGAGGAGCAUCCCUCCUUCCUACAGUCAGAAGAGCGUCAUGUUGAGCCUCCUCACAUCAAGCUGUUGCAUCAAUACACACCUCUAAUGUGUCCGUUGACUCGUGAGAGUGGCCACCAAAAACCCACCGGCUCAAAUCCAAACGAAGGUCUUCCCUGCCAGAGGAGUGUCACGACCCUGCUGGAGCUGUGGCCCCGCCCAUCUCUGGCCGGCUCCAUCACUCCUCCUCCUCCUCAGCCAUCACUGUCCCAGAGGUUCCUGAGCUUCCUCGUUCCUUCACUUGGGGGAAGGUAGACAAACUCAGGCUCCACUCCGGCUGUGUGGAGCGGUCCUGGUUCUUCAGUUCUUGGUCCUGGUACUCAUGCUGGAGCACAGUGAGGUGACCUCAGCCAUGGUCUCUGCCACUGCUGUUGGACUCAGUCUCUCAUGAGACAAAGCAUGGUGAAGCAGUUCAUUCAGUAGCAGACACCUGGAUGAACAUGAUCAUCAGUGAAGUCGAUCAUGACUUUUAUUGACCUUUAAAGCGCUCAAAUGGCGCUGUUUUGGCCCGUGUGUGGGCAGCUCUGCCAACUUCAAUGUAACAAGAUGUGAGGAGCUCAUGAUUCAGGUUCAGAACAUUGCCCAGAUUGUUCCAGGAGUCCGUCUCCAUGCUGGAGCCUGUUUUCCAAACUAGAACCAGAAGUGAUCCUCAUGCAGACAGCAACAGUGCAGGCUUACGUAGGACAAAGAUCUCUUUUCCUUCUUAGGGUCCGUGUAAUAUUGAGGGUGCGCUCUAUAGUACGGACAAUACGGUAGUCAUAUCUUUCAGCUGGAUCCAUGUCUGAAGAUGGCGUACUGAGACACGGCAGACAAGGAAGACUGGAUUGCAAAAGUCCUCCUCCGUCACAUCCAUGAAGCUGCAGGCACCUUCAGGAUCCCACAGGCCUGCUCAGCCAUGCAAGGAAGCGUCUCAGAGUGUGGGACACGCAGAGGACUGCAUGCCAGAGCAGGGGAACAGAAGACCGGUCGGCUGUUGCCAGGUAAGCCACCAACACCGGCGUGGAUGAUUCCGGCCCAUUUGAGGUCAGUCCAGGCCGCGGCAAAGUCACGCGCUAUGGUGAGCUUUCCACGUGUUGGAGCGCUUCACUUCAGAGGUGGCACACUCCCUCCACACCAGCUCAUGGAUUCAUGCUCUACGCCACUUUUUGUACAACAAGUGUCUGUUCUUCGGUCGCACGACGGCGCUCGUUGUGUCGGUGCUGAAAGGGAGUUGAAGGAGUCCAUAAAAGAUGUGGACCAGGCCAAGAUCAGACAAGCGAUGCUGGAAGAGGACACGGCCGCUGCGCCCCAUCGGGGAGGCGUCUGGGAAGGCCAAAUAAGGACAGUCAGGAAGCAGGCCUGGAGCCCAAAUCAUCUGCUGUUGGUGAGAACACAGCCAGACAUUCCUCCUGGUGUCUUCUCCAAGGACCAGCUCUAUGCACGGAGGCAAGUUCAAUAUAUGGCAGAUUCAUUCUGCCGCCAGGGGACCCCAGAGUACUAGGCCCUUCUGCAAGAGAGACGAAGACGGAACACGACUAAGAGGAACUUAACCUCCGCGCCACCAAACUCCUGGUUGAAGGGAGGACAAUGCCAGACUCCAGGGGAACAGUCCGCAGUGUCUGUGUCGGAGAGAGCCAUUAGACCGAGGUACGUCUCGUGGACGAGGCAUCAUAAAGGCUCGGAAUGAGAUUGAUAGAUCUAUCUGUCUCACAAUAAGGGGCCUGUCAUGUUCCAGUGGAUGAGUGGAGUGCAGUGCUAUUAGGUCUGUCUUACUUAUGGCUGGCUACUGCUCGUCUCACUGGCUGAAGAAGGCGCACCCGCGCACGUGACGUGUGCGCGUGGACGUGUCCCGGACGCCUCAGAAGCAAGUGAGAGUUGUGGACCGUGCUAUCGCUGUUUUGCUUUGGAAUACUGUCCUGUUGUUACCCACUGGGAUCUCCACAGAUCCCGUGCACUCUGACGCGCGCCGACCACAGGCUCCACGUCCAUGAUGUCACAGACCAGCGGCGGUGCGCUCGCAGCAGUGGACUGGUGCUCUACUGGAGGACUUGUCGCUGGUCAUUCUUAAACAGCAGGAAGAAAACGUCAACAAUGUGAAAUGAAAUUCUUCUUUCCGGUGUGACCUCAAACGUGUCAGUCUGUCAGCACCAAAUCCAUUCUCACACACCUCUGCUGAGCGACUGACUCCAUUCAUGGACGUGAACUACCCCGCUGACUUGAGUCCUACAGAGGCAGGACAGAGCCAGCACUUCACUGAGUCCCACAGAUCCGCUCAAGUCCCUGUGAAACCCGGAAGUGACUCGACCACUGGAGUCUCUGCCUCCUGAGGUGGAUGAAAUGAGGACUCGUGCUGCCUCGGGUGACUCAUGGCUCGGGUCACUUGGAUGACCUCAGGAAGAAGGACGACAUGAUGAGGUGGAAGCUGAGAGGAGGCCGAGGAGCUGGAAGAGUUGGGUGAGGUGGAGUCCGCUGCCCCUUGACUCACCCGGCUCCCACCACCAUAAGCCACUCAGGAGCACACCAGAGGGGGCGCUGUCGACACGCUCCGUCCCCACCCUGGCUAGGGUCUUAUUUUGAAAGGGUGUGAAGGGAAGUGUGUUGAUGAGUUCAGAGCUCUGUCAGAGAGAGCGCCACCCUCAGUUGACACGCCAGUAAUCCCCAGAGGAGCAGAGCUGCAGGACGCGCCUCCUCUUGGUCUGGUGUCGUUCACGUGAAGCACUGCUGCUCUUCACACCUGCUCAGGCUCACAGCCUCCUCCUGAUCUGAUCUUCAGUUGCACCAAGCAGCUGAUGGUGUGGAGAUAGAGAUGCUGAAGCAGCCGUCAGAGUUGAGUCUCUCCCAGACGACACCACAGCUGCACUGCUGCUGCUGCUCUGCUCCAACAUCCAGGCUCUGGUCAUCAGCCCAGCAGGGGGGGAGCAUCUCUUCCUCCUCAACAGCAAGUCCUCACUGAGUCAUCGUCAUGUCAUCUUCAAGUCAACAUCAAGUCAUCUCCAAGUCACUGUCAUGUCACCAGGUCAUCUUCAAGUCAACAUCAAGUCAUUGUCAAGUCAUCAGAUCAUCUUCAAGUCAUCGUCAUGUCAUCAGGUCCUCUUCAAGUCAACAUCAAGACUUCACCAAGUCAUCUCCAAGUCACUGUCAUGUUACCAGGUCAUCAAGUCAUCUUCAGGUCAACAUCAAGUCAUUGUCAAGUCAUCAGAUCAUCUUCAAGUCAUCGUCAUGUCAUCAGGUCCUCUUCAAGUCAACAUCAAGACUUCACCAAGUCAUCUCCAAGUCAUUGUCAUGUCAUCAGGUAGUCCUCAGCCGCCCGGGCAGAACUACGGAGGCCUGGAAGUGACACGCAUGUGUCCAUAUUUUGGGAUGUGACUUGCAUGACUUCAGAGUGAAAUCGUGAUGAUCACCAGGUUUCAUGGAUAACUCUCUCUCGCUCGAGGGAGCACAGGCGCCAUGGACCAGGAGCGGGCGUGGCGUGUCCUCCUGAGCACGAGGCACUCGGUCAGAUGGAGGGAUGAGAUGUAGCACACCGUGACGGAGCCCUGGGAGACAGACAGGUGGAUGUCAUUCACCACUGGAGCCCACUGAUCACGAGAUCGACAGGAGGAAACACCUGCAUGUCGCAUCCAGGCCUCCGUACAAGGCACCUUCCAUCGCGUGGAAAAACCAAGACACCUUCCCGCGAGGCCGACGAGGGGGCGGAGCAACCCUCGGAGCAGGGCUGAUGGCUCCGGCGCCCCCUCUGGUGGAACCUUGUCAGUGAGAGACAGUGAACUGACCACUGCCGUUACACAACUUUAUUUCUAGACGACCCGCAAUGGUUUUUUACAUCCGGUCCUGAGCAGCGCCCCCGGACCACUAAGCGACUGAGGACACAAACCAGCCUUCACCACACAACAACGACAGCGAGGAGAGGAGGCUGAGAGCGUCCCGCCUCACAGGUCCAGCAGGAAGCGGUCCACCUUGGCCUGGUACUCCGGUCUGAGGAAGCGCUCCAGCUCGCCUUUCCUCAGCCACAGGCGUGAGGGGUCAGAGGUCACGGCGGCGCCGCCGUCGCUCAGGUAGGCUUUGAAGAAAAACACCUUCACCCCUAGGAAGGUGUCGGUCCGGAGCGCCCGGGGGAGCUUGGACUUGUAGACCCCGCACGGAGCGUUGCCCAAGAAGGUGGUCUUCAGGUCGGCACCUGCAGGAGAGCGACAAUCAGGGUCAACAUCUCUGGGCUCAUGAGUCCAGACUCCACAUCCUGAAGCCAGCGCUGCUGAGCCGGACUUCGGUCCAGGGAGGGGAACUGAUGAGGUCUUCACCAUCCCGUCUGCCUUCCACUCCCAACAGGGAAGACAGGGAGAGACACGGCUCAGUUGCUAUCACUGGAUUUGGCUUUUGGAUGAGAGCAGUUGCAUCCACCACGCCAAUCGCUGAACCCGUUUGUGACGAGUCAAGUUAGGAUCAACGAGCAGGU